UUUUCAGGAAUAAUAAUCUCUUUUCUUAUUGAUGUGAAAGAUUGACAAAUCGUAUUGAUGUGAAAGAUUGACAAAUGGUUGGAAAGUCUGAAGGAAGACAUUUGAACUAUUAUUCACACGGAUUAUGCAUGCCAUGAAAUUUCUGAAUAUGUGGGAUGAAGUUAAGUUAAGGUGGUCCUCCACCCUAAAAAUGUGAUGUUGGCCAUUUUUAGUAAUUUAUAAAUUUUUCAGAUUUUCCUUAGCCUGCAAUGAUGAAGAAAAACUUUUAUGAUGAACAAAUGUUGUAAUAAUAUUGUAAUAGUAUUCUAGCUGCAUAGUUUUAUCAUUCAUAUUUUUUACACUACAGUGUAUAUAUGUCCCCCAAAAAGUGCAAUAGCUAUGCCAUUGAAAUCAUGCAUUCGUUAUGUAUCAAUAGUUUUGAUAUCUUUAAGCAGUCAUAAAAUUGGUUCUACUAGACAAAUUUUGAAAAGCUCGUGUCAAAAUUCAUCACUUGAAUUGAUCAUGAUGCUAUUAAUAAUUAGCUUUAAAAAAAUCUGGAGCAUUAAAUAGAUGUUUUGCAUGCGCAUUAUAUAGCUUUUUUGGAACACCCUGU